CCCAUGAGCUGAGUGCGAUCAGGAGGACACAGCUGGGACAGCUACGGGUUCAUGCAGAUGUUAUCUUUAUAUUCAGUGAAGUUCUUCUGACAGACCUGAGAGCAGUCAAAACCUGAGCUUCAUCUUUGGAGUUUUCACACAAGCUCUCCAGCGCCUUCAUGGCGGUGUCCUGCUGUUCGUUCUGUCACAGGGGAACAAACAUCCUCCUCAUUAAUACAACCACCCACCAGUCGUAUUCAUCACAAUCAUACAGUGCUCUAAAAAUAGACCUGUUUCUCGCUGCGUCACUCAGCACCGAUCAUCAGACCCCCCCUUCACCCUCUUGCCAAAUAUGAUCACUUCUGGCUGCAGAAAAACAAGAUGCCAAAAUGCAAAUUUGAGGCUUCUAAACAACGGUCAACAAAGCAAAAGAUCAGCGCAGUAACAAGGACAUGAUCCCUCGACGGCCCACGAACUCCAAGCUGCCCUGUUUCAGACUAAACUCUGCGUACAGAGCCGAGUGAUGAGUCCUGUGAUGAGUCCUACCUCCAAAGCAAUCUGUGCAGCCAGACUGAGGAGAUUGGAAGCAGCGUUCUCAGAUACCAGCAGUCCG